rnacentral:rRNA from 1 species
AGCGAACGCUGGCGGCAGGCCUAACAUAUGUAAGUUGAACGAACCCUUCGGGGUUAGUGGCGGACGGGUGAGUAACACGUGGGAACGUGCCUUUAGGUUCGGAAUAACUCAGGGAAACUUGUGCUAAUACCGAAUGUGCCCUUCGGGGGAAAGAUUUAUCGCCUUCAGAGCGGCCCGCGUCUGAUUAGCUAGUUGGUGAGGUAAUGGCUCACCAAGGCUACGAUCAGUAGCUGGUCUGAGAGGAUGACCAGCCACAUUGGGACUGAGACACGGCCCAAUCUCCUACGGGAGGCAGCAGUGGGGAAUCUUGCGCAAUGGGCGAAAGCCUGACGCAGCCAUGCCGCAUGGAUGAUGAAGGUCUUAGGAUUGUAAAAUCCUUUCACCGGUGAAGAUAAUGACUGUCGCCGGAGAAGAAGCCCCGGCUAACUUCGUGCCAGCCGCAGCGGUAAGAC